UACGAGAGGCGCAAACGUUAUUCGGAAUUACUGGGCGUAAAGAGCGCGCAGGCGGCUGGUCAAGUCCGAUGUGAAAGCUCCCGGCUUAACUGGGAAAUUGCAUCGGAAACUGAUCGGCUGGAAGGUGGGAGAGGGUAGCGGAAUUCCCGGUGUAGUGGUGAAAUGCGUAGAUAUCGGGAGGAACACCAGUGGCGAAAGCGGCUACCUGGCCCAUUCUUGACGCUGAGGCGCGAAAGCUAGGGGAGCAAACGGG
rnacentral:rRNA from 1 species